GGGAUAUGAUGAGUGGUCAUAACUCGCAGUCUUAUAUGCGAGAUGAGUGUUCGCUCCAAGCCUGGUUACGACAAUGGGGCACUCUCUUCUGUACCCAUCUGAUUCC
rfam:Daucus carota subsp. sativus cultivar DH1 chromosome 3, whole genome shotgun sequence.